GUGGGGAAUUUUGGACAAUGGGCGCAAGCCUGAUCCAGCAAUGCCGCGUGCAGGAAGAAGGCCUUCGGGUUGUAAACUGCUUUUGUACGGAACGAAACGGUCCGGGUUAAUACCCUGGGCUAAUGACGGUACCGUAAGAAUAAGCACCGGCUAACUACGUGCCAGCAGCCGCGGUAAUACGUAGGGUGCAAGCGUUAAUCGGAAUUACUGGGCGUAAAGCGUGCGCAGGCGGCUUUGUAAGACAGGCGUGAAAUCCCCGGGCUCAACCUGGGAAUUGCGCUUGUGACUGCAAGGCUGGAGUGCGGCAGAGGGGGAUGGAAUUCCGCGUGUAGCAGUGAAAUGCGUAGAUAUGCGGAGGAACACCGAUGGCGAAGGCAAUCCCCUGGGCCUGCACUGACGCUCAUGCACGAAAGCGUGGGGAGCAAACAGGAUUAGAUACCCCUGUAGUCC
rnacentral:rRNA from 1 species